CCUACGGGUGGCAGCAGUGGGGAAUAUUGGACAAUGGGGGGAACCCUGAUCCAGCCAUGCCGCGUGUGUGAAGAAGGCCCUCGGGUUGUAAAGCACUUUCAGUGAGGAAGAACGCCUGGUGGUUAAUACCCAUCAGGAAAGACAUCACUCACAGAAGAAGCACCGGCUAACUCCGUGCCAGCAGCCGCGGUAAUACGGAGGGUGCGAGCGUUAAUCGGAAUUACUGGGCGUAAAGCGCGCGUAGGUGGCUUGAUAAGCCGGUUGUGAAAGCCCCGGGCUCAACCUGGGAACGGCAUCCGGAACUGUCAAGCUAGAGUGCAGGAGAGGAAGGUAGAAUUCCCGGUGUAGCGGUGAAAUGCGUAGAGAUCGGGAGGAAUACCAGUGGCGAAGGCGGCCUUCUGGACUGACACUGACACUGAGGUGCGAAAGCGUGGGUAGCAGACAGGAUUAGAUACCCCUGUAGUC
rnacentral:rRNA from 1 species